GCACCAGACUCCUACGGGAGGCAGCAGUGGGGGAUAUUGCACAAUGGGGGGAACCCUGAUGCAGCGACGCCGCGUGGGUGAAGAAGUAUUUCGGUAUGUAAAGCCCUAUCGGCAGGGAAGAAAUUGGACGGUACCUGACUAAGAAGCCCCGGCUAACUACGUGCCAGCAGCCGCGGUAAUACGUAGGGGGCAAGCGUUAUCCGGAUUCACUGGGUGUAAAGGGAGCGUAGACGGCAAUGCAAGCCAGGAGUGAAAGCCCGGGGCCCAACCCCGGGACUGCUCUUGGAACUGCAUGGCUGGAGUACAGGAGGGGCAGGCGGAAUUCCUAGUGUAGCGGUGAAAUGCGUAGAUAUUAGGAGGAACACCGGUGGCGAAGGCGGCCUGCUGGACUGUGACUGACGUUGAGGCCCGAAGGCGUGGGGAGCAAACAGGAUUAGAUACCCCUGUA
rnacentral:rRNA from 1 species